rnacentral:rRNA from 1 species
AGCUCCAAUAGCGUAUAUUAAAGUUGUUGCAGUUAAAAAGCUCGUAGUUGAAUUUUUGGGGCGGGCGCAUGGAGCGGGCUCACGCUCGCUGCUGUGCGGCCGCCUCACACCUUCUGGCUAGGCUGCAUGCAAUUUAUUUUGUGUGUAGUUGAACCAGGACUUUUACUUUGAAAAAAUUAGAGUGUUCAAAGCAGGCUUACGCUUGAAUACAUUAGCAUGGAAUAAUAGAAUAGGACUUUGGUUCUAUUUUGUUGGUUUCUAGGACCGAGGUAAUGAUUAAUAGGGACAGUUGGGGGCAUUAGUAUUUAAUUGUCAGAGGUGAAAUUCUUGGAUUUAUGAAAGACUAACUUCUGCGAAAGCAUUUGCCAAGGAUGUUUUCA